AACGAACGCUGGCGGCAUGCCUAACACAUGCAAGUCGAACGAGACCUUCGGGUCUAGUGGCGCACGUGUGCGUACCGCGUGGGAACCUGCCCUUAGGUUCGGAAUAACUCCCCGAAAGGGGUGCUAAUACCGGUUAAUCUCUUCGGACCAAAGAUUUAUCGCCUUUGGAUGGGCCCGCGUUGGAUUAGCUAGUUGGUAGGGUAAAAGCCUACCAAGGCGACGAUCCAUAGCUGGUCUGAGAGGAUGAUCAGCCACACUGGGACUGAGACACGGCCCAGACUCCUACGGGAGGGAGGAGUGGGGAAUAUUGGACAAUGAGCGAAAGCCUGAUCCAGCAGUGCCGCGUGAGUGAUGAAGGCCUUAGGGUUGUAAAGCUCUUUUACCCGGGAUGAUAAUGACAGUACCGGGAGAAGAAGCUCCGGCUAACUCCGUG
rnacentral:rRNA from 1 species